rfam:Schistosoma haematobium scaffold2447_4, whole genome shotgun sequence.
GGCUUUCUGAAUCCGUGCUGAGGUUUCGUCAGAUACCAACCCUCUUGGGCUGAUGAGACUCCCAAGGUAAGUGAAGUG